AGGAAUCUGCCUAUUAGUGGGGGACAACAUCUCGAAAGGGAUGCUAAUACCGCAUACGUCCUACGGGAGAAAGCAGGGGAUCACUUGUGACCUUGCGCUAAUAGAUGAGCCUAAGUCGGAUUAGCUAGUUGGUGGGGUAAAGGCCUACCAAGGCGACGAUCUGUAGCGGGUCUGAGAGGAUGAUCCGCCACACUGGGACUGAGACACGGCCCAGACUCCUACGGGAGGCAGCAGUGGGGAAUAUUGGACAAUGGGGGGAACCCUGAUCCAGCCAUGCCGCGUGUGUGAAGAAGGCCUUAUGGUUGUAAAGCACUUUAAGCGAGGAGGAGGCUCUUUUGGUUAAUACCCAGAAUGAGUGGACGUUACUCGCAGAAUAAGCACCGGCUAACUCUGUGCCAGCAGCCGCGGUAAUACAGAGGGUGCAAGCGUUAAUCGGAUUUACUGGGCGUAAAGCGCGCGUAGGCGGCCAAUUAAGUCAAAUGUGAAAUCCCCGAGCUUAACUUGGGAAUUGCAUUCGAUACUGGUUGGCUAGAGUGUGGGGGAGGAUGGUAGAAUUCCAGGU
rnacentral:rRNA from 1 species